rnacentral:rRNA from 1 species
AGCGAACGCUGGCGGCAGGCCUAACACAUGCAAGUCGAACGAACUCUUCGGAGUUAGUGGCGGACGGGUGAGUAACACGUGGGAACGUUCCUUCUGGUUCGGAAUAACUCAGGGAAACUUGUGCUAAUACCGAAUGUGCCCUUCGGGGGAAAGAUUUAUCGCCAUUAGAGCGGCCCGCGUCUGAUUAGCUCGUUGGUGAGGUAACGGCUCACCAGGGCGACGAUCAGUAGCUGGUCUGAGAGGAUGACCAGCGACUCUGGGACUGAGACGCGGCCCAGACUCCUACGGGAGGCAGGAGUGGGGAAUCUUGCGCAACGGGCGAAAGCCUGACGCAGCCAUGACGCGUGAAUGAUGAAGGUCUUAGGAUUGUAAAAUUCUUUCACCGGGGACGAUAAUGACGGUACCCAGAGAAGAAGCCCCGGCUAACUUCGUG